CCUACGGGGGGCUGCAGUGGGGAAUAUUGGACAAUGGGCGAAAGCCUGAUCCAGCCAUGCCGCGUGUGUGAAGAAGGCCUUCGGGUUCUAAAGCACUUUCAGUGGGGAAGAAAGCCUUGGGGCUAAUACCCUCGAGGAAGGACAUCACCCACAGAAGAAGCACCGGCUAACUCCGUGCCAGCAGCCGCGGUAAUACGGAGGGUGCGAGCGUUAAUCGGAAUUACUGGGCGUAAAGCGCGCGUAGGCGGUCUGAUAAGCCGGUUGUGAAAGCCCCGGGCUCAACCUGGGAACGGCAUCCGGAACUGUCAGGCUAGAGUGCAGGAGAGGAAGGUAGAAUUCCCGGUGUAGCGGUGAAAUGCGUAGAGAUCGGGAGGAAUACCAGUGGCGAAGGCGGCCUUCUGGACUGACACUGACGCUGAGGUGCGAAAGCGUGGGUAGCAAACAGGAUUAGAUACCCUAGUAGUC
rnacentral:rRNA from 1 species